CACAUGCAAGUCUCAGCACCCCAGUGAGAACGCCCUUUCAACUUCCAUAAAAGUCAAGGAGUCGAUAUCAGGCGCAGAUAUCUUGCCCAUAACAUCUAGUUCCACCACACCCCCAAGGGUACUCAGCAGUGAUAAAGAUUGCCUAUAAGCGUCAGCUUGAAUCAGUCAGAGAAAAAAGAGCCGGCCAACUUGGUGCCAGCCGCCGCGGCUACACCAUUGGGCUCAAGUUGAUAACAGUCGGCGUUAAGCGUGAUUAAAGGAGAUAAAAAUUAGAGUUAAAUUAAAAUUUAGCUGUGAAAAGCUUAUUACUUAGAAACCCAAAAUCGAAAGUUACUCUAACCUACUCUUGAAUACACGACAGCUUGGAAACAAACUGAGAUUAGAUACCCCACUAU
rnacentral:rRNA from 1 species